UACGUAGGGUGCGAGCGUUAAUCGGAAUUACUGGGCGUAAAGCGUGCGCAGGCGGUUUUGUAAGACAGGCGUGAAAUCCCCGGGCUUAACCUGGGAACUGCGUUUGUGACUGCAAGGCUAGAGUCCGGAAGAGGUGAGUGGAAUUCCUGGUGUAGCGGUGAAAUGCGCAGAUAUCAGGAGGAACACCGAUGGCGAAGGCAGCUCACUGGGACGGUACUGACGCUGAGACGCGAAAGCGUGGGGAGCAAACAGG
rnacentral:rRNA from 1 species